rnacentral:rRNA from 1 species
GUGGGGAAUAUUGGACAAUGGGCGAAAGCCUGAUCCAGCCAUGCCGCGUGUGUGAAGAAGGUCUUCGGAUUGUAAAGCACUUUAAGUUGGGAGGAAGGGCAGUAAGUUAAUACCUUGCUGUUUUGACGUUACCGACAGAAUAAGCACCGGCUAACUUCGUGCCAGCAGCCGCGGUAAUACGAAGGGUGCAAGCGUUAAUCGGAAUUAAUGGGCGUAAAGCGCGCGUAGGUGGUUUUGUAAGUUGGAGGUGAAAUCCCCGGGCUCAACCUGGGAAGUGCAUCCAAAACUGCAUGACUAGAGUACGGUAGAGAGUAGUGGAAUUUCCUGUGUAGCGGUGAAAUGCGUAGAUAUAGGAAGGAACACCAGUGGCGAAGGCGACUACCUGGACUGAUACUGACACUGAGGUGCGAAAGCGUGGGGAGCAAACAGGAUUAGAAACCCCAGUAGUCC